rnacentral:rRNA from 1 species
UAGGGAAUAUUGCUUAAUGGGCGAAAGCCUGAAGCAGCAACGCCGCGUGUGUGAAGAAGGCCUUCGGGUUGUAAAACACUUUUUGAGGGAAUGAGGAAGGACAGUACCCUCAGAAUAAGCCUCGGCUAACUACGUGCCAGCAGCCGCGGUAAAGCGUAGGAGGCGAGCGUUAUCCGGAUUUACUGGGCGUAAAGCGCGUGCAGGCGGCACGGCAAGUUGGAUGUGAAAGCUCCCGGCUUAACUGGGAGAGGUCGUUCAAAACUGCCGAGCUAGAGUGCGGGAGAGGGAGGUGGAAUUCUGGGUGUAGUGGUGAAAUGCGUAGAUAUCCGGAGGAACACCAGUGGCGAAAGCGGCCUCCUGGUCCGCAACUGACGCUCAGACGCGAAAGCUAGGGUAGCAAACGG